CAGGACGAACGCUGGACGGCACGCUUAACACAUGCAAGUCGAACGGAGUUAAUUUGGUUUACUGAGAUUAACUAGUGGCGGACGGGUGAGUAACACGUGAGCAACCUGCCUCUGAGAAGGGGAUAGCUUCUGGAAACGGAUGGUAAUACCCUGUAACAUAUCGAAACCGCAUGAUUUUGAUAUCAAAGAUUUAUCGGCUCAGAGAUGGGCUCGCGUCUGAUUAGAUAGUUGGUGAGGUAACGGCUCACCCAAGUCGACGAUCAGUAGCCGGACUGAGAGGUUGAACGGCCACAUUGGGACUGAGACACGGCCCAGACUCCUACGGGAGGCAGCAGUGGGGAAUAUUGCACAAUGGGGGGAACCCUGAUGCAGCGAUGCCGCGUGGAGGAAGAAGGUUUUCGGAUUGUAAACUCCUGUCUUAAAGGACGAUAAUGACGGUACUUUAGGAGGAAGCUCCGGCUAACUACGUGCCAGCCGCCGC
rnacentral:rRNA from 1 species